rnacentral:rRNA from 1 species
AGCGGGGUAGCAUACCUAGCGGCAGACGGGUGCGUAACAUGUGGGAAUCUGCCUUUUGGUUCGGAACAACACGGGGAAACCUGUGCUAAUACCGGAUAAGUCCUUACGGAGAAAGUUUUAAUGCCAAAAGAUGAGCCCGCAUUUGAUUAGCUAGUUGGUGAGGUAAAAGCUCACCAAGGCGAUAAUCAAUAGCUGAUUUGAGAGGAUGAUCAGCCACACUGGGACUGAGAUACGGCCCAGACUCCUACGGGAGGCAGCAGUGGGGAAUCUUGCACAAUGGGCGAAAGCCUGAUGCAGCGAUGCCGCGUGAGUGAAGAAGGCCUUUGGGUUGUAAAGCUCUUUUGUCGGGAAAGAUAAUGACUGUACCCGAAGAAUAAGGUCCGGCUAACUUCGUGCCAGCAGCCGCGGUAAUACGAAGGGACCUAGCGUAGUUCGGAAUUACUGGGCGUAAAGAGUAUGUAGGCGGCUAGAUAAGUUAAUUGUGAAAGCCCAAAGCUUAACUUUGGAAUUGCAAUUAAAACUAUUUAGCUGGAGUAUGAUAGAGGAAAGCGGAAUACAUAGUGUAGAGGUGAAAUUCGUAGAUAUUAUGUAGAACACCAGUUGCGAAGGCGGCUUUCUGGAUCAUUACUGACGCUGAGAUACGAAAGUAUGGGUAGCGAAGAGGAUUAGAUACCCUCGUAGUCCAUACCAUAAACGAUGAUUAUUAGAUGUGGGGAAUUAUUUCUCUGUAUCAUAGCUAACGCGUUAAAUAAUCCGCCUGGGGAGUACGACCGCAAGGUUAAAACUCAAAUGAAUUGACGGGGACCCGCACAAGCGGUGGAGCAUGU